rnacentral:lncRNA from 10 species
GGAGGAGGCUGCAGCAGGUGGGGAGAGUGAAAAUGAGUGAGCCGAGCAGCCGGAUGGACCCAGAGAUCCUCAGAGGUGGCCCCACUGGGGACAAUGGGGUGAGAUAGAACCGAGGGAGAGAAGCAGACAGGUGACCCCCGGGAGCAGGGAGAGUUGGAUGGUGGCCUUGCCCGUUCUUCCGUAGCAGUUCCAGACAGCCACGGCCACCUGGUCCUGGUCCUCGGGAGUACCGACACAACUGCCACCCUAAAGGGCACCAGGAACUCUACCUCCAUCAGCUCGCAGAUGGUCACCGUGGCAGCUGUCUCUAAGGAGGGUGUUCACUCCUCUUCCACAGAUGACAAAACUGAGACUCCAAGAAGCCAAGUGACUUGUGUAAGGACAAACGGUAACCAAGGCGCAGGGGAAGCAGCCAGCCUUUGCCAGUCUGACUCCAAAGUUCAAGUUCUAUGUACACCCCAGGUAGCUUGGCAAACCACCCACUUCUCGAACAGGAAGGCCUCAACCCUGCCGUUCACAAAGGAGGAAAAAGACAGUGUGUGCAGGCCCCCAGGCACAGGACAGACAAGAUUCGGUGCUAGAAUAUUCAAAGUGAUUUUGAAACCCAGCGCCUCUUAGUAAUAACAAUACCAGUUUCGGUCAUUUGCAUAACUUUCUACCGUUAACAAAAGGUAUCCCCAGCAGUUAAUUACAAUGACAAAGAAGGCACAAGGAGGCCGGGGCGGUGGUUCACGCCUGUAAUCCCAGCACUUUGGGAGGCCGAGGCAAGUGGAUCACCUGAGGUUAGGAGCUCAGCCUGGCCAACAUGGUGAAACCCCAUCUCUACUAAAAGUACAAAAAAUUAGCCGGGUGUGGUGGCACAUGCCUGUAAUCUCAGCUACUCGGGAGCUGAGGCAGGAGAAUCGCUGCAAUCCGGGAGGCGGAGGUUGCAGUGAGCUGAGAUCGCGCCACUGCACUCCAGCCUGGGCAACAAGAGCGAGACUCCGUCUCAAAAAACAAAACAAAACAAACAAACAAAAAAAGAAGGCAGAUGGGAGAGAGAAUGGUCUGUAGGAUCCCUCUGCAGACCCUGGGACGUUUCCUGUGCUCCCACUGGACAUGGCUGGGGUGGGUGGGUGGGUGCUGGGCAGAUCCUUCUGGGCCAACUUCCAGGAGCUUCUAGAUGAGGGUCCUGAAGUCACAGGCUCUGAGCGUGGGUCUGGGCAGCGCACAGAGGGCUUGGGUCCCAGUGGCCAGUUCCAGCUCUGCCUGCAGGACCCCAGUGUUGGCGAACAUGCCAUCGGUUACAGUUCCUGACACCACCUGCUGGACUGGAUUCCAGGCGGUGUAAACCAGUCUCUGCUCUCAGGGAGGGUCUGAAAGACGACGGAUCCUUUGAGGGAGGGAACUGGGAGCCCAGGCCCUCAAGAUGGGUUAGGAGUAAACUGGAGGGGAGGGGCUUGGGACACCUGCCGGGGGAGUCCAGGGUGGGGUAAGACGCUGGAGAAAAUAUGAUCAAAAUGAGACUUAUGUAAAUCAAAUCUCGUUUGGUUGCAGAUCUUUUACUGCUGUUUUGAUCUGCCAUUGGCAGAGACUGCUGACUACUUGGGCUUUUGAGUUUUUCUUCCCCUUUUUACGUGCCAUGUGGGGCAGGGGGCGGGAGGAGGUGGGGUGCCCUUUAGGCCACCAGGUUUUGUUUUUGUUUUUUGAGACAGAGUCUCGCUCUGUUGCCCAGGCUGGAGUGCAAUGGCGUGAUCUUGGCUCACUGCAACCUCCACUUCCCGGGUUCAAGCGAUUCUCUUGCCUCAGCCUCCUGAGUAGCUGGGACUACAGGUGCGUGCCACCAUGCCCGGCUAAUUUUUUUUGUGUGUGUGUGUUUUUAGUAGAGAUGGGGUUUCACCGUGUUAGCCAGGAUGGUCUCGAACUCCUGAUCUUGUGAUCCGCCCGCCUCGGCCUCCCAAAGUGCUGGGAUUACAGGCGUGAGCCACCGUGCCCAGCCAUUUUUCUUUUCUUUUCUUCCUUUUUCUUUUUCUUUCUUUUUUUUUUUUUUUUUGAGACAGGGUUUCACUCUGUCUCCCAGGCUGGAGUGCAGUGGCACGAUCUCACCUCACUGCAACCUCCACCUCCCGGGUUCAAGCGAUUCUCCUGCCUCAGCCUCUUGAGUAGCUGGGAUUACAGACACCUGCCACCACACCCAGCUAAUUUUUUAUUUUUAGUAGAGACGGGGUUUCACCAUAUUGGUCAGGAUGGUCUCGAACUUCUGACCUCAGGUCAUCUGCCACCUCGGCCUCCCAAGGUGUGCUUACAGGCAUGAGCCACCACACCCGGCCUUAGGCCAUCAGGGUUUAAGGAGUGCCAGGAAACUGUUAAAGGAACCUUGGGGGAUCUUUCAGAAAUAUUUAAAAAAAAGAUGAGGCUGUGGAUAUGCCUCCCCACCCCUACCCUCUAGUUUCUUCAUUGAAAAUUUUAGUUUUUUUUCCUUGCCCAAUUUUCUCUUGUGAGUGGCUCUCUCUAAAAUUGUAGUUCUGGAUGGGCAGGUGGCUCACCCUGUUUGCAGCAGUUUUGUUUAAUAGCUCUAAACUGGAAAUAGGAUAAUUGAUAAAUAAAUUGUAGUAUAUUUGCUAUGGUCUGAGUGUGUUCCCCAAAAUUCAUGAAUUGGAAACUUUUUUGUUUUUGUUUUUGAGAUGGAGUUUUACUCUUGUCAUCCAGGCUAGAGUGCAAUGGUGUGAUCUUGGCUCACUGCAACCUCUGCCUCCCGGGUUCAAGAGAUUCUCCUGUCUCAGCCUCCCAAGUAGCUGGGAUUAUAGGUGCCUGCCACCAUGCCUGGCUAAUUUUUGUAUUUUUAGUACAGACAGGGUUUCACCAUGUUGGCUAGGCUGGUCUUGAACUCCUGACCUCAUGUGAUCUGCCCACCUCGGCCUCCCAAAGUGUUGGGAUUACAGGCAUGAGCCACCACACCUGGUGAAUUGGAAACUUAAUCCUCAAUGCAACAGUGUUGGGAGGUAGGGCCUAGUGGGAGGUGUUUAGGUCAUGAGAGCUCUGCCCUCAUGAAUACAUAAAUGCUGCCAUUAAAAGGGCUCACAGAAGUGGGUUCUGUCCUUUCACUCUUCUGACAUGUGAGAACACAGCAUUUGUCCCUGCUUGACUUCUGCUUUCUGCCAUGUGAAGACACAGCAAGAAGGCCCACACCAGAUGCCACCACCUUAAUCUUGGACUUCCCAGCCUCCAGAACUAUGAGAAAUAAAUUUCUGUUUCUUAUAAAUUAUCCAGUCUCAGGCAUUCCACUGUAGUAGCACAAACGGACUAAGGCAGUAUUUGUAUCUAAAAGGCUAUCUAGAGCUGGGUGUGGU